AGAAAGUGCAUUUUCUGAAGAAACUGCAGUGUGAAUGCUUGAAUCUGAAUGUAUGCAUUGAAAUGAAAUAAUUACUGAAUUUAAGUUAAAAAUUUUGAAUGAGAUUAAAAAAAAAACCCGAAUUUAACCUGAAAACAAAGGUGCUGAACUGCUAAAAGCUGAAGGUUACACAGAAGAAGGAGUUGGAAAAAAACUGAAAAUGUUUUAAAUGUAAAUUAGAAAACCCUAAGAAAUGAGAAAAGAACAUUUAGAGUCAGAAAACAUCUGAAUGAAUAUUAAAAGGUCAUAUUCUUUGAAUCACUGAAUGACUAAAAUGUGAUCCCUCCACUUGGACCCACACAGUUUAAAAAGUUUACAUCUCUGAGCUUUGAAAGACAAGAUGUUGGAAAAAGAACAACGAUGGCGACGUUUUGAGGGUAAAAUGAUGGCUGUGACACUGUGGACACAGCAGCAGUUGAAAGAGAAGUGUUUAAGAUAAAUCUUGGCAGAGAGAGAGAGAGAGAGAGAGAGAGAGCUCGUUAAGCAGGCAGGUGUGAGCCUGGUUGCUAUAGUGACCGCACCCAAUGGCUCCAUACACACGUACACAGACAUGCGCCUCACUUUUGCUGCUUAAAAUGAACAGAAACGUCAGCCCUAAACAAAUCGCUCCCAAAUGAAAAGUAUAGGUCGUAUUGACAAAAUUCUUUCACCGUGAGCGGCAGCAAUGUCCAGUCUACCAAAUUCUCAGUUUUCAUGCCUGUGGAGUUUAUUAUAUGGACGUGGUGACAGUGUAAAGACACCAUGCUCUUCUGAUUUUCAAACGAACCUUCUGAGCCAUUUUAACAUUAGAGUCUAUGGAAGAGUUGGAGGGAGGAGGCUGUGCAUUGGUGACAUUUAUGAAAGAACCAUAACACCUAGUACAAUAGUAAACACAUUGGAUGAAAGAGGACAGCGAUGGCUACGUUUUGAGGGUAAAAUCAUACCUGUAGAGCAAACGCUGCGGACACAGCAGCAGUUUUAAAAAAGAUUUUAAGAUUAAUUUUUUUGCUCCUCUCACUCUAGCAGUUGAGCUGCCUCACUCUAGCCCCAACAUUCCGUCCCAUACACACCCAUUAUAAACUCUGAAACGGGUGAAAAAACAUCAUGAAAC
ensembl:lncRNA